rnacentral:rRNA from 1 species
UGGGGAAUAUUGGACAAUGGGGGCAACCCUGAUCCAGCCAUGCCGCGUGUGUGAAGAAGGCCUUUUGGUUGUAAAGCACUUUAAGCAGUGAAGAAGACCUAACGGUUAAUACCCGUUAGCGAUGACAUUAGCUGCAGAAUAAGCACCGGCUAACUCUGUGCCAGCAGCCGCGGUAAUACAGAGGGUGCAAGCGUUAAUCGGAAUUACUGGGCGUAAAGCGAGCGUAGGUGGCUUGAUAAGUCAGAUGUGAAAUCCCCGGGCUUAACCUGGGAACUGCAUCUGAUACUGUUGGGCUAGAGUAGGUGAGAGGGAGGUAGAAUUUCAGGUGUAGCGGUGAAAUGCGUAGAGAUCUGAAGGAAUACCGAUGGCGAAGGCAGCCUCCUGGCAUCAUACUGACACUGAGGUUCGAAAGCGUGGGUAGCAAACAGGAUUAGAUACCC